UACGGGGGGGGCAAGCGUUGUUCGGAAUUACUGGGCGUAAAGGGCUCGUAGGUGGCCAACUAAGUCAGACGUGAAAUCCCUCGGCUUAACCGGGAACUGCGUCUGAUACUGGAUGGCUUGAGGUUGGAGAGGGAUGCGGAAUUCCAGGUGUAGCGGUGAAAUGCGUAGAUAUCUGGAGGAACACCGGUGGCGAAGGCGGCAUCCUGGACCGGUAUUGACGCUGAGGCGCGAAAGCCAGGGAGCAAACGGG
rnacentral:rRNA from 1 species